CAAUACCUGUAUUGAUUUUUGAGGCACACCGUAUGCCAACCCCGUGAUAGAAGAUUUCUCAAACUAGGAGCUUCAAUAAACACGAAUAUCUAUAAAAGAACGGAACCAGAUGCUAUCGGCAAACCACUUGCUUUAUGAGUGCAGAAGAUUUGAAACACAGUUGUACAGGGGCAAAAAUACGGGCUUCGCUCAAGUACAACUUUGACGUCUCAGAUUCACGUUAAAAAUACUCUCAAAUACUUAGAAGAAGCUCAAAUAUACUAUGGAAUCUAACAGCAAGAAGAUGUAGUAGAGAACAACCGAGGCAUAGCUGUCGCUAAUGAUCCUGUCGAUGCGACAUUAAAAUCAAAGUAAAGAAAAAAAAAACUGUGUAAACAAGAGAUUCAGAAGCUUCACUAAUGAUCAGAGAAGUAUCCGGAAUCGAAGAAUGGUUUGUCUUUCUCGUCUGCUCGGUAGGUAUUCAUUUCAGUUGAAAAGUGGCAAAGCCCCGCCCACCAGCCAGCUGGCAUUUAAACGGACAUGGAAAUUCAAUGUAGCCACUUUUUCAAGUGAUUCUAGAAAAGGAGAGAAAAAAGCCACGACAAAAAAAAAAGGAAUUACACGUCGAAGAAAAUAAGCAGUAGCAUUCUUCUCCGCGUUGAUAAUACCUACUCCCCUUCUUUCCAAUUGAAGAACGAAUCUGAAAGCGGGUAUUCCGUAGAAAUAAAUCGUUCCAUCGUAUCGUUGGCUGUAUGUUCACAUUUCUACGUGAGAUCUUGGAGAACAGAAGUUUUUCUUAUUUGAAAAUCUGUUGGAAACAGUUCAUACUGUUGCUUGUGAUUGUUAUUAAAUUGUUAUUAAAUUAUGAAUUUUUAAAUAUUGAUAUGAAUUAUGGAAAUACGAUUUCAAUUGAAAAUGUCGCGAUUGUAAAUUGAGGUUAGAAAUGUAUGGAGAUGAUGAGGUUAGAAAUGAUUAAAAGAAUAUUAGAAAGUGAUCUUGUUUAUGAAGCUUUGGACUAGAAUAAAAACUGAACUGAAAUUGCAGCUGGAUAUACUGCAAAUUCAGGUUAGGAAAAGUCUGGAAAGGAUAAGGUUAAAAAUUAUUAGAGAAUUGGAUUAAUGAUGUUCAAGAAACUCAAAAUUGAAUCUGAGUGUAUUACAAAUCGAGAUUAGAAAUAUUGAAAUAUUGGGAUUGGAGUAUCUAAGAAAUUUUAGGUUGUAAGUACGCAAUCAAAUUGUGUGAAUUGAGGUUAGAAGUUGAUACUGGGUUAUGGAAUAGUAGGGAAACCAAACUUAGAUUGCAAACCACGAUUGUAAUGAGAAAUGCAAUAUAAUGAGCAAUGGAAAUACCAGCAUUUGAAAUUGGAAAUGUUCGUGCAACAUGAGAGCAGACGUCAGUAUUAAGCUUGUAACGAAGAUACAUCAUAAUUUGUAAUGACAAUUAUUUAGGAAAUUGAAAAUGGAAUUAGCAACACUGCAAAUGGAAAUAUUUACGCAAAUUGAAAUAUAAAGAUAGAUCGAAUGUACAGAUUAAAGUUAAAGAUAAAGAAUAGAAUAUGUGAAAUACGUCUCAAAGAAAUGAAACAAUAUUCCAAAAAAUUCACGUCCGCGAAGACGAAGUUUAGUUUCAAGUGAGUGCGCAGAAGAUGCUGAAGAGAAUUUAAAACAUAAGAAAGGGAGAUCAGAAAUACUUGUAAAAUACAUGUGUCAGAAUAUUUCAAGAAAGUCACGUCCAGGUCAUGAAAAAUUGUUAAGUGUUUGAAAAAUAUAAUCUUAAUUUAAGAAUAACUAAGAAAUAUAAUUAAAAGUAUGGGGGAAAGGGACAAGCGAGAAUACUUCACAAAGUUAAGCAACCGCGAAGAUUCGUAUUUAGGAAGAAGAAAGAUCUAAAAAUAUAUAAAUCAAAAAUAUAAUAAAAAAAAUAAAAAAUCAAAACUUUGUAGAAACUAUGGAGCAGAAUAUACUCCACAAUUCACAUCCAAGCCUAAAACUCAAAUUUUGAAAGAAGAAUAAGAGAAAGAAGAAGCUGAAAGUCUAACACAGAUAUAAUAAAAAGGGUAUUCAAAAUUAAAACUUUCUGAAAACCACAGACAAGAAUAUUUUACAAAAUCCAUCUUCGAUCCUAAAAAUUUAGGUUUUGGAAGAAGGAAAAGAAGAAACAAAAAGAUCAUAAAAAAUCAAAUACCAUAGAUUCCCCAAAAUCCUCAUCAUCUCAAAAGAUUCAGAUCCUGGAAGGACCACUUCAUCCCAAUUUAACCCACUUACGCAUCCCAGAAACGUGGCGUAUAUAGUUCGAGGACGUAGUCAUUCCAAAAAAAAAGAAGAAAAAAUAAGAAACUAAAAAACAGGAAAGGGAGAAAAGAAGGACGCGCAGAGAAAAGAAAUUUUCGUGAAUUAACGACAGAUGUGACUCGUUGUUGUCGUUCUUCUAUUCUCCACGGUGUACCCGAUUCAACUUCGCUACUGCGCUGAAUGCAACCUGACCUGCAUGCAAAUUCCUCGUGUUGUUACAAUACGAAAAUCCGUCAGGGGACUUGGAAGUAUACCAGCUCGCUGUAUUACGUAGAGUUCGGUGUUGGAUCACCGGGAAUCAUUCGCUUCGUUUCUUGUUUCACAGAUUCGUUUCAGUGUGAAAUUUAUUUUCUGCCGUUAUCUUCCUCGAGAUUUACUUUUACAGAACUCGAUCCUAGAUCGGAUUGUCUGCAUCGGAUAUUUUUAACGACAUUUUUUGCUCGGGUUUAGGUGGAAGCCUUCGGUAAAUUGAGCGAGACGCAUUUUUUCUUGGAAAGUCUAACGAUUGAAGGUUUUCAUUCUUGGAAUCGUAAAUUUUAAUCCUCCAUUGUAGCAUUUUUAAAUCGCAUAUAGCUUCGUAAAACAAACAUAUUUAAAUAUUUGUAGACAUCUUUUAUCAAUACGCAUAUGCAACCGGUAAAUAAGAUAUACAGAAACAUUUCUUCGGUAUAACAUAUGGGACCCACACUAGGGGUGGGUAUUUUGUAGAGAGUAUUUUUUGUCUUAUAUAUGUAACAAGUACAUGAUUCAUUUCUGUUCAUUUUUCGGUGAAAUGAAAUUAAAAUGUAAAUUUUUAAGCGCCCGACAGUAGGCAACCAGCAACUCCGCCGAAAUUGCAUUGGAAGACGGGUUGCUAGUGCUCAGGCGCGUCAAAUUGCGAUGUCUGUAGUUAUCUUUAUUUGCACAUUUCUGGGUACAUUUCUUCAUAUUAAAAAUGGUAGAAGAUUUCAAAAUCUGUUAAUACCAAAUUGCAAAAUUAUUUUUUGUGUAAAAUACGAAUAAAAACUGGUAUUACGAAAAUCGUAAUGAUUCUAGUAUACUGUUUGUUUAAUAAAACCAUCUUGAAUAAAGCAGAAGAUAAAAAUUUCUAGAUUGGAAAAUCUUUUUCCGAAUACGAAUGUAAGAGUUACUUAAACUGUGUGUUCCUAACCUAUACGUAACCACACGGUCGAAAUGGCUAUUACCAUUUCAUCGCAUCAAUAUGAGGAUUUACGUUCAGUACAUUUGUAAUUUGGCUCUAUAUAUAACUCAAACCUAAUUGCAUCGGAAAGCUGUUUAAUCAAGGGGUGUUCCUUGAACAGAUAUAACGGUUCAUAACCUAAAUCUGAUUGCACGAUACAGCUGUUUAACAUCGGUCUACAUUAACCAGAGGAUAUAUCGUGAAUCAGUAAAAUGAUUUUCGAAAUCUAAUACAAAUCUAAUCUACGCACACAGGUGUUUAAACAGACAAUACUUUGCGAAUCAGCAUAACGAUUCUUAGACCAAACCAAAUUGGAAACCAAUGCAAACCUAACCGUGUUAUACAUAUAGUAUAGAGCGACCUAUUAUUAUCGUAAUUCGAUACAUUAUAUCGUCCUAACCUAUCGGUCGUUAUUAUUAACCGUCGCUAUAGUUAUUACUUUGAAGAAUGGGGAAACGAAGAAGGAGAAAUUUUUAUGGAACCAUGCAUGGGGAACCGAAAUUUUUGUUUUGGUUACAAUUCUCAGAUCAGUUAGUAUAUCUCUUGUAAAUCAUUUGUUUGGCCCUAUAUCGAUUCCAGUUAUCCCAGAAUCGAUUUUUGUAUCAAUUUUGCAAUAAUUGAAAUCUUACGACGCUAAGAAAAUAUUUAGUUUCAUUAUAAAGCUGUUUAACCAUGACGAAUUGUACUUAAACAUAUUUCAGACUUGAAGGUUAGGUUUGCAUUUGUUUAACUUCCUACUUAAAGUCUAUUUUAGGAAGAAAUUUGACAAGGAACCAUACGUUUUAUACAUUUACAGAGGAUUUAAUACAAAAAUCUAAUCUGUGACAAUAUUUUUGUUCACUAAAUAUUAUAUGUUUAAUAUUAUACAUAUAUUAUAUUAUAUGUAUAUUUAGGGCCGGUCUCCUUUAACCGGAGUCGUGUCGUAAGCUGACGACAUCGAUUCCUAUCCGGGAUUCGCUGACACGGGCAGCUUACUUGAACUUGCCACCCGGUCUCCGCAAUACAUUUCCGUUUUCACGACGACAAUAACAAGCAGACAGUGCGAAUGAGAACCAGGGAACUCCCGAUACUCGACCCACUUCGUCGCAUUUUCAUUGCACUCGAUAACGCUGUCACAUGUUACUGCCACUAACCGUCCGGCAAACCCACUUUAACUGUCUUUUUCCAUUCUCUUUAACAAUAAUUCUAUUCUCCGCUGAUUGAACUAAUCUUACAAAUUUCGUCGGAAAUUUUUUGGAAUGUAAAGGAUUUUUAUAUAGGAUUAAUGGAGAUAAUCCUACAUUUUAAAUUUGUCAGCGUUUUUUACGUUUUUUAGAAAUUUAUAUAAAGUUAAAGUA